rnacentral:rRNA from 1 species
AGAAUCAACGCUGGCGGCGUGCCUAACACAUGCAAGUCGCACGAGAAAGGGACUUCGGUCCUGAGUACAGUGGCGCACGGGUGAGUAACACGUGAAUAAUCUACCUCCGAGUGGGGAAUAACUGAGAGAAAUCUUAGCUAAUACCGCAUAACACUUACGAGUCAAAGCAGCAAUGCGCUUGGAGAGGAGUUCGCGGCAGAUUAGUUAGUUGGCGGGGUAAUGGCCCACCAAGACGAUGAUCUGUAUCCGGCCUGAGAGGGCGCACGGACACACUGGAACUGAAACACGGUCCAGACUCCUACGGGAGGCAGCAGUGGGGAAUUUUGCGCAAUGGGGGAAACCCUGACGCAGCAACGCCGCGUGGAGGAUGAAAUAUCUUGGUAUGUAAACUCCUUUCGAUGGGGAAGAUAAUGACGGUACCCAUAGAAGAAGCCCCGGCUAACUUCGUGCCAGCAGCCGC